GGGUAUAGCUCAAUGGUAGAGCAUGUGCUUAACAUGCACGAGGUCCUGGGUUCAAUCCCCAGGAUGUCCA
rnacentral:tRNA from 1 species